rnacentral:rRNA from 1 species
AGCAUAUCAAUAAGCGGAGGAAAAGAAACCAACAGGGAUUGCCCUAGUAACGGCGAGUGAAGCGGCAACAGCUCAAAUUUGAAAUCUGGCUCUUUCAGGGUCCGAGUUGUAAUUUGCAGAGGGCGCUUUGGCGUUGGCAGCGGUCCAAGUUCCUUGGAACAGGACGUCACAGAGGGUGAGAAUCCCGUACGUGGUCGCUGGCCUUCGCCGUGUAAAGCCCCUUCGACGAGUCGAGUUGUUUGGGAAUGCAGCUCUAAAUGGGAGGUAAAUUUCUUCUAAAGCUAAAUACUGGCCAGAGACCGAUAGCGCACAAGUAGAGUGAUCGAAAGAUGAAAAGCACUUUGGAAAGAGAGUCAAAUAGCACGUGAAAUUGUUGAAAGGGAAGCGCUUGCAGCCAGACUUGCCUGUAGUUGCUCAUCCGGGCUUCUGCCCGGUGCACUCUUCUAUAGGCAGGCCAGCAUCAGUUUGGGCGGUUGGAUAAAGGUCUCUGUCAUGUACCUCUCUUCGGGGAGGCCUUAUAGGGGAGACGACAUGCAACCAGCCUGGACUGAGGUCCGCGCAUUUUGCUAGGAUGCUGGCGUAAUGGCUGUAAGCGGCCCGUCUUGAAACACGGACCAAGGAGUCUAACAUCUAUGCGAGUGUUUGGGUGUCAAGCCCGAACGCGUAAUGAAAGUGAACGGAGGUGGGAACCCUUUAGGGCGCACCAUCGACCGAUCCUGAUGUCUUCGGAAGGAUUUGAGUAAGAGCAUGGCUGUUGGGACCCGAAAGAUGGUGAACUAUGCUUGAAUAGGGUGAAGCCAGAGGAAACUCUGGUGGAGGCUCGCAGCGGUUCUGACGUGCAAAUCGAUCGUCAAAUUUGGGCAUAGGGGCGAAAGACUAAUCGAACUAUCUAGUAGCUGGUUCCUGC